UUGGGAAGGGCCUGAAGGAGAAGGGUGCGGUGUGGCAGGGGGGUCUGGGAGUCUCAGGUGAUGGAGGCACCGGACAAGUGGCAGGGGCUGAGCACAGAGGGUGCAGAGGGCAGCAGAAGGAGGGAGCUGAGGAGGAGGGUGAAUUUUCUGCGAGCACCAGUGCAAAGGCUCCAUGAGCUCCUCGGUCUACCCCUACCUUGGUGGGCUGGAGCUGCUCAAAGAUGUUCCCUCUGAGGGUGGCGGCGGCUCUGUUGGCGUUUCGCUCCUGCUUGUACAGCUGCGUCGUCGGGGGCACGGACGGGGCCAGUGCCGCGUUCAGACUUUGACCAGAUCUCGCAUUUCCUUGCUGCUUUGGACAUCGGCUCCAGAGGAUACAUUUAUUAUUCGUUUGGAGACCAAGGAACUGGCUAAUUAACAGCUGUGCUACUUUAAGGAUGUAUAAUCGUUCCCAUCCUCCAGGAAAUCAACACGUUCCCCUCUGCACCUCC